CAGCAGCCGCGGUAAUACGGAGGGGGCUAGCGUUGUUCGGAAUUACUGGGCGUAAAGCGCACGUAGGCGGCUUGGUAAGUUAGAGGUGAAAGCCCAGGGCUCAACCCUGGAAUUGCCCUUAAGACUGCCGAGCUAGUAGGUGAGAGAGGUAAGUGGAAUUCCGAGUGUAGAGGUGAAAUUCGUAGAUAUUCGGAAGAACACCAGUGGCGAAGGCGGCUUACUGGCUCAUUCUAGACGCUGAGGUGCGAAAGCGUGGGGAGCAAACAGGAUUAGAUACCCCGGUAGUCCCUGUCUCUUAUAC
rnacentral:rRNA from 1 species